rnacentral:lncRNA from 1 species
UAAUUAUUAUGAACAAAUCUAAUUAUUUUAAAACAUUACUUUUUUCAUGUUAAUAGUUACUUUAUAUUUCAACAAUAAUUACUACUUGACAAAAUUAACAUAAAUCUCUUGGGUGACUAAAUUACUCGUCCUCAAUCUUAUCAACAAUCCACGCAAUCCCCUUCAAAUUUUCCUUUCCCUUAAUUUUUCGCUAAAUCCAAAAUCAAAACACAAAUCCCCUAUCUCCUUCAAAAUUCGCCGCCACCACAGCUUCCUCCGGCAAGGCCACCGCCUCUCGGGGCACCGACGUCGACCCAACAUCUCCUCUCUCUUUGGUUGAAUCGCCACAGCAGCUCUCUACCACCUGUAGCCGCUGAGCACAGCGCCGCUACCUCCAUCGGCAGCGCUUUCCCCCAAUAACGUCGCCCCUCCUUUAUUUGCAGGUUCCCCCUGAAUCCGGCGAGUGCUACCCCUUUUCCUCUGGCGGAAUUUCUCUUCCCCAAAUCGAGCCCUAAUUUUCCAGCACGGGCUGCCGAAGGAAAUGAAAUUUAUUUGAAAAAAUGCCUUUUAUAUUUUUGUGGUUUGGGUCGGGCCGGGUCCAUAAACGGGUCGGGGGAACCCGGUCGCAUAGCAUGCGGUUAACCGCAUGCAAUAAAUUGGGAUUGUAUAUACUCCCUCCGUCCCUGAAAUAAGUUUCUUUUUUUCCAUUUUGGGACGUCCCCCAAAUAAGUUCCUCUUUCUUUCUUUCUAUUUUUGGACAACUACCCCACCACUAAUAAUACUUUAUUUAUUCUUAUUUUUCACUUUUUCAC